AUUGAACGCUAGCGGGAUGCUUUACACAUGCAAGUCGAACGGCAGCGCGGACUUCGGUCUGGCGGCGAGUGGCGAACGGGUGAGUAAUGUAUCGGAACGUGCCCAGUAGCGGGGGAUAACUACGCGAAAGCGUAGCUAAUACCGCAUACGCCCUACGGGGGAAAGCAGGGGAUCGUAAGACCUUGCACUAUUGGAGCGGCCGAUAUCGGAUUAGCUAGUUGGUGAGGUAACGGCUCACCAAGGCGACGAUCCGUAGCUGGUUUGAGAGGACGACCAGCCACACUGGGACUGAGACACGGCCCAGACUCCUACGGGAGGCAGCAGUGGGGAAUUUUGGACAAUGGGGGCGACCCUGAUCCAGCCAUCCCGCGUGUGCGAUGAAGGCCUUCGGGUUGUAAAGCACUUUUGGCAGGAAAGAAACGUCGCGGGCUAAUACCCCGUGGAACUGACGGUACCUGCAGAAUAAGCACCGGCUAACUACGUG
rnacentral:rRNA from 1 species